CCAGACUCCUACGGGAGGCAGCAGUGAGGAAUAUUGGUCAAUGGGCGGGAGCCUGAACCAGCCAAGUCGCGUGAGGGAAGACGGUCCUACGGAUUGUAAACCUCUUUUGCCGGGGAGCAAGGGCGGGGACGUGUCCCGGCCCGGAGAGUACCCGGAGAAAAAGCAUCGGCUAACUCCGUGCCCACAGCCGCGGUAAUACGGAGGAUGCGAGCGUUAUCCGGAUUUAUUGGGUUUAAAGGGUGCGUAGGCGGGUUUUUAAGUCAGCGGUAAAACUUCGGGGCUCAACCCCGUCCGGCCGUUGAAACUGGGGGCCUGGAGUGGGCAAGAAGAAGGCGGAAUGCGUGGUGUAGCGGUGAAAUGCAUAGAUAUCGCGCAGACCUCCGAUUGCGAAGGCAGCAUGCCGGCUCCACACUGACGCUGAGGCACGAAAGCGUGGGUAUCGAACAGGAUUAGAUACCCCAGUA
rnacentral:rRNA from 1 species